ACGAGAUACAACUUACAAAAUACAACAACUUAUUACAUGGAACACAGGCAAUAGCCAACACAAGUGUACAUGGAACAUAUUGUCUUAUUGUGUCACAAGUAUACUGUCCAAGACAACACGAGAAGCAUCAGACCACAGUCCAAGUUGCUUCUUAUGUCCCACCUGCAGUAAAAACAAAGAGAGUAUCAGACCACAGACUAAGACAACACGAGAAACACAGACAAUAGCCAA
rnacentral:lncRNA from 1 species